GGCGAGAUGGCCGAGCGGUCUAAGGCGCCAGACUAAGGUUAGCCUCUAACUUGGUAUCUGGUCCGAAAGGGCGUGGGUUCGAAUCCCACUCUCGUCA
rfam:Ceriporiopsis subvermispora B unplaced genomic scaffold CERSTscaffold_4, whole genome shotgun sequence.